rnacentral:rRNA from 1 species
UACGGGGGGAGCAAGCGUUGUUCGGAUUUACUGGGCGUAAAGGGCGCGUAGGCGGCGCAACAAGUCACUUGUGAAAUCUCCGGGCUUAACCCGGAGCGGCCAAGUGAUACUGUCGUGCUAGAGUGCGGAAGGGGCUACUGGAAUUCUCGGUGUAGCGGUGAAAUGCGCAGAUAUCAGGUGGAACACCCGUAGCGAAGGCGGCAUUCUGGGCCGAUACUGACGCUGAGGAGCGAAAGCGUGGGGAGCGAACAGG